ACGUAAACUUUGAUCCGAAGAUUUCCGAAUGAGGAAACUCACUUAGAGUAAUGUCUAAGUAUCAUUAAGUGAAUACAUAGCUUAAUGAGGGGAACUCAGGGAACUGAAACAUCUAAGUACCUGAAGGAAGAGAAAGAAAUUCGAUUCCGUAAGUAGCGGCGAGCGAACGCGGAUUAGCCCAAACCAAUAAAGUUUUCUUUAUUGGGGUUGCGGACAUAUCAUAACGAAGAGGUAUCGUAAUUGAAGAGGUUUGGAAAGAUCCACCACAGAAGGUAAUAGUCCUGUAUGUUAAACGAGAAGACUUUAGAUAUGAUCCAGAGUACCACGGGACACGUGAAACCCUGUGGGAAGCAGGAGGGACCACCCUCCAAGGCUAAAUACUACCUAGUGACCGAUAGCGUAUAGUACCGUGAGGGAAAGGUGAAAAGAACCCCGGGAGGGGAGUGAAAUAGAACCUGAAACCCUGCACUUACAAGCUGUGGAAGCACAUU
rnacentral:rRNA from 1 species